rnacentral:rRNA from 1 species
UACGGAGGGGGCUAGCGUUGUUCGGAAUUACUGGGCGUAAAGCGCACGUAGGCGGCUUUGCAAGUUAGAGGUGAAAGCCCGGGGCUCAAUCCGGAAUUGCCUUUAAAACUGCAUCGCUAGAAUUGUGGAGAGGUAAGUGGAAUUCCGAGUGUAGAGGUGAAAUUCGUAGAUAUUCGGAAGAACACCCGUGGCGAAGGCGG